rnacentral:rRNA from 1 species
UGCUGCAUGCUGUCGUCAGCUCGUGUCGUGAGUAUGUUGGGUUAAGUCCGCAACGAGCGCAACCCUUGUCACUAGUUGCCAUCAUUUGGUUGGGCACUCUAGUGAGACUGCCGGUGACAAACCGGAGGAAGGUGGGGAUGACGUCAAGUCCUCAUGGCCCUUAUGGGUAGGGCUUCACACGUCAUACAAUGGUCGGUACAGAGGGUUGCCAAGCCGCGAGGUGGAGCUAAUCCCAUAAAACCGAUCGUAGUCCGGAUCGCAGUCUGCAACUCGACUGCGUGAAGUCGGAAUCGCUAGUAAUCGUGAAUCAGAAUGUCACGGUGAAUACGUUCCCGGGCCUU